rnacentral:rRNA from 1 species
GAUGAACGCUGGCGGCGUGCCUAAUACAUGCAAGUCGAGCGAACAGACGAGGAGCUUGCUCCUCUGACGUUAGCGGCGGACGGGUGAGUAACACGUGGAUAACCUACCUAUAAGACUGGGAUAACUUCGGGAAACCGGAGCUAAUACCGGAUAAUAUAUUGAACCGCAUGGUUCAAUAGUGAAAGACGGUUUUGCUGUCACUUAUAGAUGGAUCCGCGCCGCAUUAGCUAGUUGGUAAGGUAACGGCUUACCAAGGCAACGAUGCGUAGCCGACCUGAGAGGGGGAGCGGCCACGCGGGAACUGAGACACGGUCCAGACUCCGACGGGAGGCAGCAGUAGGGAAUCUUCCGCAAGGGGCGAAAGCCUGACGGAGCAACGCCGCGUGAGUGAUGAAGGUCUUCGGAUCGUAAAACUCUGUUAUUAGGGAAGAACAAAUGUGUAAGUAACUAUGCACGUGUUGACGGUACCGAUUCAGAAAGCCACGGCUAACUACGU